AGGCUUCUAUGUUAAACAAAUGCUUUAAGUAGCUAAGUAAUAUGUAUAAGUAUGUGUCAUUUUCAUUCAAAUACAUCAAUUUGGAGUGUUUCAUCCCAUCCUAUAACGGUCAAAGCAAACAUAGCUCUUUUCCCAUGUAUCCAUCUAAUAGAUUAUAUGUAUCUAGCAAAAGUAGCUCUACAUUAUUUUCACAAUUUGUGUCUUUUUUCUUCCUAAAUUUGACACAUAUUUGUCCAUAAAAACAAUCAUUUUCUUUAUUUCUUUUUUUCUUUGUAAAUUUUUUUAAACAACAUAUUAUGAUAUCAAUACAUUAUAUUUUAGAAUUUCAGAUUUUUAAAAACUUAAAUAUCAAUACAUUAUAAUUUAAGUCAAUAAAAUUAUUCAUAAAAAAUUCGCAUAUUUUCUUGUUUUAGUGUUUAACGCAUAUAUUUAAUUUUAAAAACGAGGUAUAAAAUAAGUAUAAAUCAUUCUACUUGUGCUGAUUUGGGGUAGUAAACAUAGUCACCUUGGGAAGGCUUCUAUGUUAAACAAAUGCCUUAAGUAGCUAAGUAAUAUGUAUAAGUAUGUGUCAUUUUCAUUCAAAUACAUCAAUUUGGAGUGUUUCAUCCCAUUCUAUAAUGUUCAAAGCGAACAUAGCUCUUUUCCCAUGUAUCCAUCUAAUAGGUUAUAUGUAUCUAGCAAAAGUAGCUCUACGUUAU
rnacentral:lncRNA from 1 species